rnacentral:rRNA from 1 species
GACGAACGCUGGCGGCGUGCUUAACACAUGCAAGUCGAACGGAAAGGCCCUGCUUUUGUUGGGUGCUCGAGUGGCGAACGGGUGAGUAACACGUGAGUAACCUGCCCUUGACUUUGGGAUAACUUCAGGAAACUGGGGCUAAUACCGGAUAGGAGCUCCUGCUGCAUGGUGGGGGUUGGAAAGUUUCGGCGGUUGGGGAUGGACUCGCGGCUUAUCAGCUUGUUGGUGUGGUAGUGGCUUACCAAGGCUUUGACGGGUAGCCGGCCUGAGAGGGUGACCGGCCACAUUGGGACUGAGAGACGGCCCAGACUCCUACGGGAGGCAGCAGUGGGGAAUAUUGCACAAUGGGCGGAAGCCUGAUGCAGCAACGCCGCGUGCGGGAUGACGGCCUUCGGGUUGUAAACAGAUUUCGCCUGUGACGAAGAGUGAGUGACGGUAAUGGGUAAAGAAGCACCGGCUAACUACGUG